rnacentral:lncRNA from 1 species
GACAGCGAUGUCAAUUUUGUUCAAUCGCUAGCUAUAUACAGAAAAUCGCCGACAAAAAAUGUGUUAAUACGAGUAAAAUCGUAUCUGACUGACAAAAACAACAUUGGACAACAAUGACAAUGGCUGCCGUGAAAAGACAAUUACAAUUUCGGAUCCGAUUCCGGAAGCGGAUAAGGGUAAUUCCGGGUUUUUGGCGAAUCCAGGCAGGUGACAAAAUACAUCUAUGCAUGGUAAAUGAAUAUAAACACUAGAAUUGAAAACCAAAAGAUAUAUGUAAAAGAAAGAAAAAGCAGAAAAUAUUUUAAACAGAAACUCAAAAUUACUUUUGACAAAUUUUAAUGUCAAAAUCCAAUACAAUGUGACAGCUGGGAACAGUAUAUCUAACAAUAUAUAUGUUCCUGGUCACAGUUUAAAUUUUUUUUAUCAGUGAUAAAUGUUGAUAAUGCAUGUAAGAUGCUUUUAAAGUGUAAACAUAUUACUGCAAUUUUGAAGGGGUAUUUUUUUUUCUCAAUUUUGAAGGAUCAGUUAAAGUAGCUGGAAGAUUCUUACUUUAUUUUCACAAAUAACUACCUGAAUGUAGGCAAAUCAUAUGAUAUAUAGGUGGCGUCCUUUGGGCCACUCUACCCCUCCUGUUUGAUAACUUUGAAACGGAUGACCUCUCAACCAUAUACAUUCAUGUAUGGGACUAUAUAUAUAACUAAUCAAAUGAAAUAUAAGGGGAGUCCAUGGGGUGACCCACCCCCUCCUGUUUGGGAACUUACGAAACGGUCGAGAUCCCCACCCCUAAACAAUAUAUAUUCAUGUAUGGGUCAAUAUAACUAAUUAAAUGAAAUAUAGGGGGAGUCCCCCUACCCCCUCCUGUUUGAGAACUUGGAAACCGAUGAGAUCCCCACCCCUAAACCAUAUAUAUUCAUGUAUGGGACAAUAUAACAAAUCAAAUGAAAUAUAGGGGAAGUCCCUGGGGUCAUCCUAUCCCUUCCUGUUUGAGAACUUGAAAACCCUCAAGAUCCCCACCCUAAACCAUAUAUAUUCAUGUAUGGAACAAUAUAACAAAUCAAAUGAAAUAUAGGGGAAGUCCCUGGGGUCACCCUACCCCUUCCUGUUUGAGAACUUGAAAACCCUCGAGAUCCCCACCCCUAAACCAUAUAUAUUCAUGUAUGGGACAAUAUAACAAAUCAUUUACAUUUACUAUGGGCAGGUCAGUCAGACCUCACCUUUGAUCCUUGUAGUAGUGAACAUUUGUCUGAUUUGUGUCGCAUAACUAUUGUACUAUAGAACACAUACUCAGUUUUCUUUACAGGGAAACCAGUCCAUUCAUACUAUUACAUGUUCGUACUAAGUCAACACGUACUACUAACAGUCAACUAAAACCAACGUUAACUACCAACUAGAACAACUACAAUCAUUGCGAACUUGUACCACUGCAGACUCACCAUAAAAAAUAUACAUUUAUAUAUUCAUUGCUAUUGAAACCUUGAUAACAUAUAAAUUAUUUGCCUUAAUAAUUAAUUCAUUAGAUAAACAUAAAUGUACAAUAUAUGAAUGUUUAAUGCCACAUCAGAGGCGGAUUUAGAGGGUUUUUCAGUGCCCCCCCCCCCUUUUCCAUUUUUGAGAAAAAAUUUGGUUGAUUAUAUAGGGAAUCACUGAAGCAUGACUGGAGCAGGUCCCCUGUUAGGCAGGCAGUGGGCCCCCACUUAUGAAAAUUUCUGGAUCCGCCACUGCACAUAAUUACGUUUGCCUGGUUUUUGGUUAACUGCCUUCAGCGCUU